CCUACGGGAGGCAGCAGUGGGGAAUAUUGCACAAUGGGGGAAACCCUGAUGCAGCAACGCCGCGUGAGUGAAGAAGUAUUUCGGUAUGUAAAGCACUAUCAGCAGGGAAGAAGAUGACGGUACCUGAGUAAGAAGCACCGGCUAACUACGUGCAAGCAGCCGCGGUCAUACGUCGGGGGCAAGCGUGAUCCGGAUUUACGGGGGGUAAAGGGAGCGUAGGCGGUGGGGCAAGUCGGAAGUGAAAGCCCGGGGCUCAACCCGGGGACUGCUUUGGAAACUGCCUGGCUGGAGUGCCGGAGAGGCAAGUGGAAUUCCUGGUGUAGCGGUGAAAUGCGUAGAUAUCAGGAGGAACACCGGUGGCGAAGGCGGCUUGCUGGACGGUAACUGACGUUGAGGCUCGAAAGCGUGGGGAGCAAACAGGAUUAGAUACCCGGGUAGUC
rnacentral:rRNA from 1 species